AGUGGCACUAAUCGAGCCCGGAACAAAAUGACGUCGAAAUCGAAUAUCGGUACGUUUCGGACAGGCACACCGGCGGACAUUCGGAUUGGCCACUUCGGUGAAUGCGUAUCCGCCCUCCCAUCGGCUGGCUUUCAACUUCUGAUUCAUACUGUACACCGCGAAAUUUUAUGGAAUUCCAAAUCCGACAGCCUCAUCCGAUUUGGAAAUCUGGAAUUGGAAAACAUCGAUUGUCGAUUUUGAAAACAUCGAUUACGAUUUUGCCAACCCGGAUGCUGGACUUAGAAUUUUUCUCAAAUUUUGAUUUUCCAAUUCCACAUUCUAUUACACUUAGUGUAAUGGAUUUUUCCAUAUAAAUGACUGGAAUUGGCCCUAAUCUGGUGUUUACGCCAUAGUGAAGUCUGGAUGUUGCCGUUGGCGUUGCAAUUUACAGUACAACUACGAUAAAAGGUUGUUUUUUUCUUAUUUUUUUAGUCUGUUUGAGUGGAUUUAUUCAGAUUUUCGGAUAUUUGUAUUUCAGAGAAAUCUGAGUUCUGAUUAUGGUAGAUUUCGAUCCCUUUGAAGUGUCGUCUUGCUAUCUCGUGUCUCCUGGCUAUGUCGUCCCGUUUUGUCGAAUCCAUCGAGUUCUCAAUCUCCACUAUGUUGUUUCCAUGGAUCUCCAGGACGUUUCUGGAGAUUCAGGGUCUAUGAAAACCCCGUCGCCAUCAGUCAUUCUUCUGUUUAUUCCACCCGAUAAAGACGAGCCCAUGGAGGAGAUCCCCAUUAUACAGCUGUUCGGCGUCGAGGACUGCGAGUUCUACUGGUAGAAAACGGCGAUUACCUGGCCGUCAAAGUGGAGCGUUAUAACCAUAUCAAGAGAAAGGCGAAACAAAGUUUGACUACGGUGGAAUAUUUUAUCAACCUGGAGGUUUUCGCCCAAAUUAAACGAACGGAAGUCCCCGUAAAAUCCAUUAAAACUCAAGAUUCCAUCGUGGAUUUAUCCUUGGAACCAGAUGGCAAAAAAUUAGUAGUGCUGACUAUUGCUGGUUUAGUAAACUGGCUAAUUUCUAUGAUGGACGACAAGGCGUCAUUCUGGAAUUAGUCAGCAAGAGUCCUUGUCCAUGGAAAAGUUGCAGGUCUUUUGCAACAUUCAGAUCUUUGAUUACAAAAAAAUUAGCGCUGCGGCACAAGGUGGAGAAAAUCUCUUGGUCGCCUAUGGGGCAGUUCGUCGUUCUUCACACGGCUUCCAGUUAAAGCACAGUCGUAUUCCUGACAGUGUGUUGAUUGAGACUGUGUAUGUUUUGCAGCGGAAGCGUCGGGUAUUUAAUUUUUGUGGAUACCGUUAACACUUUCUGCUCUUUGAUGUCCAGUGGGAUCCCACAGGACGCUUCCUCAGGCAGUUACGUACUCUUCGAAUGCCGGAAACAGGAAAGAUAAUGGAUUUACUCUGUACUCCUUCUAAGGUCGCUGUAUCCGUAAUGAGAAAGUGGAUGGAUUGGGUAUGUUGAGCUGGCGACCGAGAACCGCCCAUUCGAUUCUCCCAGCACAGAAGCUUAACGACGUCAAGAAAAAUCUGAAUAAAUACUCAUCCGAAUUUGAAAUUAAGGAACGGUUGCUGGCAUCGAAGGCGUCGAAGGAAGUGUCGGGGCAACGAAAACGCCUGAUGACAGAGUUUACGGAUUUUUUGACGACAAAACAGCGCUAAUUCGAGCAAGGACGACACAAACGAGGGGCACUAAAACGAGGCUAUAAACUAGGCGACUGGGUGUUUUGUGUGCUUGCGCUGAAGCGGCUGCGGACCGAGACACACCGGUUGGCGUUGGCCAGUUGGCGCGUCCUCCGACAUGGACACGCCACCGCUAGCGGACAAAAAAUUUCCAUUAUCGGAUUUGCCGAGGAGGUCGGUGGUGUGGCACCCACGCCAGAGCUGAUUCCUUCCAAGUUGGAAGAAGACGAGAAUGGAGUGGAGUUUAUACGUGUGAUUCCGGUGGAAGUGGAGUACGAUAUUCCUAGUAUUGCCGAGUCGGCGUGAU